rnacentral:lncRNA from 1 species
AAGCUUCAUUAAUGUCAAGGUUUAUAUACCUUGACAUUAUAUACCAAAAGUAGAAUAUAAUCCUUUUAAAAUGAUUGCAUUUUUUUGUAAGAAAGAAAACACUCUUCCCUGUGCAUGGGAAUUUUAGGUGGGAAAGUAGAACUCUUAAAUGAGAAAACCGUGGGAAGAUGUUUCUGCUGAAAGAGGACAUAUGUGUUAAUCACUGCCCCGAAGUUGCAGCACACUGAACCCACAGUGUUUUCUCUGCUUUGUUACUUAAAAAAUGCAAGAUGGUUGGGUUUUUCUUUUGAAUUUUAUAAAAUAUUAAAAUGUUUUUUUAAAUACAGCAUAUUAAUUUUAUUAUUCUGCAACCCUAAAGAGUGGAUUCUGUAAUGUUUCUUCCUCUAGGUCCUACAAUUCUGUUUUCUCUUCAUGUCAUUAACGUUUAAAAAGUCUUCUUUUUCUGGGCUUAAGAAAGUUACUGAAGUCUUUAUCAAGACAUGCAUGCGAAGUUUUGACAGGAGGUUAUCCAUAAUGUAGAAAUCUAAAGAUAUUUAUAAAACUGAAAAUUGCUGUGCUGUUUUGAAGCACUGUAUAUCAAAGAGAUAAGUUAAUUUGCCCAAAAGAAUAACAACAACCUUACCCAGCAACUGUAUGUCUCUUAUUUAAUGUAAUUUUAAACAAUAGAUUGUAUGUGUAAUUUAGAGAACUUAGCAAGUUGAAACCGUUUAGAUGUCUGCUUUUAGACUUAAGAUGGAUGACAUUUCUGCAACUGAUGACAUACCUCCAAAGAUUUUCACCCAAGAACUAUACUUAAGUUUAAUGUGAGUUUUUCUUCUAUGUAAAGAUCAACGAGGGUAUGACUCAGGAUUUAAGACAUAUAGUAGGCUCAGUUUUUAAAAAGAAAGUUGAGAAAACUUUAGCUCUUUGAGGGGCUGAGUCUAACCUUCAGAAUAUUGGCUUAUCCCAAAGUGAAAUCUUUUUACCACUAUACCCUAAACCCUGGCAUGCAUGUUCAAGCUUUCCAGUCUUGUGAAAAUGAAUUGUUCUUGUAUCAUCUAGAAAUUUAGUUAGAGAUCAAUUUGCCUUUUUUACAAACAAGCAUUUUUAGUUAGUAAGGUUCUGGCCUAAUUUGGUAUUCUGGAUUUCUUAUUUAUCUUAAUAUUAAAAAUAAAGGAGGAAAACUAAAUUCACAUUAAAAAUGACUAAAUUUUGAAAAUUUUUUUCAACAGGUUAUAUCAAUCAGUGAAAAUUCUAUAUUCCUUUGGCAUUUUUGUGACAUAUUCAAUUCAGUUCUAUGUUCCAGCAGAGAUCAUUAUCCCUGGGAUCACAUCCAAAUUUCAUACUAAAUGGAAGCAAAUCUGUGAAUUUGGGAUAAGAUCCUUCUUGGUUAGUAUUACUUGUGCCGGAGCAAUUCUUAUUCCUCGUUUAGACAUUGUGAUUUCCUUCGUUGGAGCUGUGAGCAGCAGCACAUUGGCCCUAAUCCUGCCACCUUUGGUUGAAAUUCUUACAUUUUCGAAGGAACAUUAUAAUAUAUGGAUGGUCCUGAAAAAUAUUUCUAUAGCAUUCACUGGAGUUGUUGGCUUCUUAUUAGGUACAUAUAUAACUGUUGAAGAAAUUAUUUAUCCUACUCCCAAAGUUGUAGCUGGCACUCCACAGAGUCCUUUUCUAAAUUUGAAUUCAACAUGCUUAACAUCUGGUUUGAAAUAGUAAAAGCAGAAUCAUGAGUCUUCUAUUUUUGUCCCAUUUCUGAAAAUUAUCAAGAUAACUAGUAAAAUACAUUGCUAUAUACAUAAAAAUGGUAACAAACUCUGUUUUCUUUGGCACGAUAUUAAUAUUUUGGAAGUAAUCAUAACUCUUUACCAGUAGUGGUAAACCUAUGAAAAAUCCUUGCUUUUAAGUGUUAGCAAUAGUUCAAAAAAUUAAGUUCUGAAAAUUGAAAAAAUUAAAAUGUAAAAAAAUUAAAGAAUAAAAAUACUUCUAUUAUUCUUUUAUCUCAGUAAGAAAUACCUUAACCAAGUUAUCUCUCUUUUAUGCUACUCUUUUGCCACUCACUUGAGAACAGAAUAGGAUUUCAACAAUAAGAGAAUAAAAUAAGA